GCAGCCGCGGUAAUUCCAGCUCCAAUAGCGUAUAUUAAAGUUGUUGCAGUUAAAAAGCUCGUAGUUGAAUUUCGGGGUUAGUAGGCUGGUCAUGCCACCGGUAUGUACUGGUCUUACUGAUUCCUCCUUCCUGAUGAACUGUAAUGCCAUUAAUUUGGUGUUGCAGGGAAUCUGGACUGUUACUUUGAAAAAAUUAGAGUGUUUAAAGCAGGCUAACGCUUGAAUACAUUAGCAUGGAAUAAUGAAAUAGGACGUUCGAUCCUAUUUUGUUGGUUUCUAGGAUUGACGUAAUGAUUAAUAGGGAUAGUUGGGGGCAUUAGUAUUCAAUUGUCAGAGGUGAAAUUCUUGGAUUUAUUGAAGACUAACUACUGCGAAAGCAUUUGCCAAGGAUGUUUUCAUUAAUCAAGAACGAAAGUUAGGGGAUCGAAGACGAUCAGAUACCGUCGUAGUCUUAACCAUAAACUAUGCCGACUAGGGAUCGGAUGAUGUUAAUUUUUUAAUGACUCAUUCGGCGCCUUACGGG
rnacentral:rRNA from 1 species